CUCCCUUCCUUUUGACAAAGCCAUUUCUGCCGUACAAAGUGGAGUUUUCCAGGCUAAUUGCGGCUGCAUUUCUUCCAGAAAAUGGUGUGACUCGUAAUUGGUGCCUGCCGUUAUGUGGCUAGGAAAAUAGCAUCAUUCCUGCGCGCUGAGGAUGUGGGAGAGACCAUGUUGGCUUGCAAGAACCGGACAGCUGUAGCUGGUAUCCCCAAAAAGCCACCAAGGUUUCAAUCCAUUCCUUGCUCAGCCAGUGAAAAACAUCCUCAUGCGGCUACUUCCGAAGUCAGAACCCAGGAACCAAACUCCUGAUGAAAUAAAAUAAAAAAAGGACUGCAAAACGGAAAAUGACGGUUUGUUUAACAAAAUCCUGCGGCUGUAGGAAAUUAACAGACCUGAGAAUGCCUUAUUCUGUCCCUUCUCUCAUUGUUCCAUUAUGAAAAUAAACUUAAAUAAAGAAGUGUUUCGUGC